GUAUUUCCCUAUGAUGAUACUAAGCUCCCUCUUCUGAAUAGAUUUGUGGAAAACUGCGGCAGAAUCGAACCUAAUCAUUAAUUUGCCACUACUGAGGGA